AGUGAACGCUGGCGAUAGGCCUAACACAUGCAAGUCGAACGGCAGCACAGUAAGAGCUUGCUCUUACGGGUGGCGAGUGGCGGACGGGUGAGGAAUACAUCGGAAUCUACUUUUUCGUGGGGGAUAACGUAGGGAAACUUACGCUAAUACCGCAUACGACCUACGGGUGAAAGCAGGGGAUCUUCGGACCUUGCGCGAUUGAAUGAGCCGAUGUCGGAUUAGCUAGUUGGCGGGGUAAAGGCCCACCAAGGCGACGAUCCGUAGAUGGUCUGAGAGGAUGAUCGGACACACUGGAACUGAGAAACGUUCCAGACUCCUACAGGAAGCAGCAGUGGGGAAUAUUGGACAAUGGGCGCAAGCCUGAUCCAGCCAGACCGCGUAGGGGAAGAAGGCCUUCGGGUUGUAGAGCCCUUUUGUUGGGUAAGAAAAGCAGCAGGUUAAUACCCCGCUGUUCUGACGUUACCCAAAGAAUAAGCACCGGCUAACUUCGUG
rnacentral:rRNA from 1 species